GGGUUGUGAGGUUAAGCGACUAAGCGUACACGGUGGAUGCCCUGGCAGUCAGAGGCGAUGAAGGACGUGCUAAUCUGCGAUAAGCGCCGGUAAGGUGAUAUGAACCGUUAUAACCGGCGAUUUCCGAAUGGGGAAACCCAGUGUGAUUCGUCACACUAUCAUUAACUGAAUCCAUAGGUUAAUGAGGCGAACCGGGGGAACUGAAACAUCUAAGUACCCCGAGGAAAAGAAAUCAACCGAGAUUCCCCCAGUAGCGGCGAGCGAACGGGGAGGAGCCCAGAGCCUGAAUCAGCAUGUGUGUUAGUGGAAGCGUCUGGAAAGGCGCGCGAUACAGGGUGACAGCCCCGUACACAAAAGCGCAUGUGCUGUGAGCUCGAUGAGUAGGGCGGGACACGUGGUAUCCUGUCUGAAUAUGGGGGGACCAUCCUCCAAGGCUAAAUACUCCUGACUGACCGAUAGUGAACCAGUACCGUGAGGGAAAGGCGAAAAGAACCCCGGCGAGGGGAGUGAAAAAGAACCUGAAACCGUGUACGUACAAGCAGUGGGAGCACAGGUUUACCUGUGUGACUGCGUACCUUUUGUAUAAUGGGUCAGCGACUUAUAUUCUGUAGCAAGGUUAACCGUAUAGGGGAGCCGGAGGGAAACCGAGUCUUAACCGGGCGUUAAGUUGCAGGGUAUAGACCCGAAACCCGGUGAUCUAGCCAUGGGCAGGUUGAAGGUUGGGUAACACUAACUGGAGGACCGAACCGACUAAUGUUGAAAAAUUAGCGGAUGACCUGUGGCUGGGGGUGAAAGGCCAAUCAAACCGGGAGAUAGCUGGUUCUCCCCGAAAGCUAUUUAGGUAGCGCCUCGUGAAUUCAUCUCCGGGGGUAGAGCACUGUUUCGGCUAGGGGGCCAUCCCGGCUUACCAACCCGAUGCAAACUGCGAAUACCGGAGAAUGUUAUCACGGGAGACACACGGCGGGUGCUAACGUCCGUCGUGAAGAGGGAAACAACCCAGACCGCCAGCUAAGGUCCCAAAGUCAUGGUUAAGUGGGAAACGAUGUGGGAAGGCCCAGACAGCCAGGAUGUUGGCUUAGAAGCAGCCAUCAUUUAAAGAAAGCGUAAUAGCUCACUGGUCGAGUCGGCCUGCGCGGAAGAUGUAACGGGGCUAAACCAUGCACCGAAGCUGCGGCAGCGACGCUGAUGCGUUGUUGGGUAGGGGAGCGUUCUGUAAGCCUGUGAAGGUGUGUCGUGAGGCAUGCUGGAGGUAUCAGAAGUGCGAAUGCUGACAUAAGUAACGAUAAAGCGGGUGAAAAGCCCGCUCGCCGGAAGACCAAGGGUUCCUGUCCAACGUUAAUCGGGGCAGGGUGAGUCGACCCCUAAGGCGAGGCCGAAAGGCGUAGUCGAUGGGAAACAGGUUAAUAUUCCUGUACUCGGUGUUACUGCGAAGGGGGGACGGAGAAGGCUAUGUUGGCCGGGCGACGGUUGUCCCGGUUUAAGCGUGUAGGUGUGUGUUCCAGGUAAAUCCGGUUCACUUUAACACUGAGGCGUGAUGACGAGGCACUACGGUGCUGAAGCAACAAAUGCCCUGCUUCCAGGAAAAGCCUCUAAGCAUCAGGUAACAUCAAAUCGUACCCCAAACCGACACAGGUGGUCAGGUAGAGAAUACCAAGGCGCUUGAGAGAACUCGGGUGAAGGAACUAGGCAAAAUGGUGCCGUAACUUCGGGAGAAGGCACGCUGACAUGUAGGUGAAGUGAUUUACUCACGGAGCUGAAGUCAGUCGAAGAUACCAGCUGGCUGCAACUGUUUAUUAAAAACACAGCACUGUGCAAACACGAAAGUGGACGUAUACGGUGUGACGCCUGCCCGGUGCCGGAAGGUUAAUUGAUGGGGUCAGCGCAAGCGAAGCUCCUGAUCGAAGCCCCGGUAAACGGCGGCCGUAACUAUAACGGUCCUAAGGUAGCGAAAUUCCUUGUCGGGUAAGUUCCGACCUGCACGAAUGGCGUAAUGAUGGCCAGGCUGUCUCCACCCGAGACUCAGUGAAAUUGAACUCGCUGUGAAGAUGCAGUGUACCCGCGGCAAGACGGAAAGACCCCGUGAACCUUUACUAUAGCUUGACACUGAACAUUGAGCCUUGAUGUGUAGGAUAGGUGGGAGGCUUUGAAGUGUGGACGCCAGUCUGCAUGGAGCCGACCUUGAAAUACCACCCUUUAAUGUUUGAUGUUCUAACGUGGACCCGUUACCCGGGUUGCGGACAGUGUCUGGUGGGUAGUUUGACUGGGGCGGUCUCCUCCUAAAGAGUAACGGAGGAGCACGAAGGUUGGCUAAUCCUGGUCGGACAUCAGGAGGUUAGUGCAAUGGCAUAAGCCAGCUUGACUGCGAGCGUGACGGCGCGAGCAGGUGCGAAAGCAGGUCAUAGUGAUCCGGUGGUUCUGAAUGGAAGGGCCAUCGCUCAACGGAUAAAAGGUACUCCGGGGAUAACAGGCUGAUACCGCCCAAGAGUUCAUAUCGACGGCGGUGUUUGGCACCUCGAUGUCGGCUCAUCACAUCCUGGGGCUGAAGUAGGUCCCAAGGGUAUGGCUGUUCGCCAUUUAAAGUGGUACGCGAGCUGGGUUUAGAACGUCGUGAGACAGUUCGGUCCCUAUCUGCCGUGGGCGCUGGAGAACUGAGGGGGGCUGCUCCUAGUACGAGAGGACCGGAGUGGACGCAUCACUGGUGUUCGGGUUGUCAUGCCAAUGGCACUGCCCGGUAGCUAAAUGCGGAAGAGAUAAGUGCUGAAAGCAUCUAAGCACGAAACUUGCCCCGAGAUGAGUUCUCCCUGAGACUUAGAGUCUCCUGAAGGAACGUUGAAGACGACGACGUUGAUAGGCCGGGUGUGUAAGCGCAGCGAUGCGUUGAGCUAACCGGUACUAAUGAACCGUGAGGCUUAACCUUACAACGCCGAAG
rnacentral:rRNA from 1 species